AAAAGGCCAACUCGCUGGAGGACGGAAGGGUGGCCUGAAGACUGAGGAGGGGCAGGUCAGGUGCCCAGUCCAGAGAGGAGGAGUUGAAGAUGACAAGCCGCACCCCACCUCCCCCCAACUCACUUGGGACUGGAUCCACCCUGAGGAGCCUCGGGUCAACAUCCUGUUUCCGGCAAGCCCUCCUGGAGGCCACACAGAGGGGUGUUUGUUCGUAGUGGGCGACGGGAGAGAUGCUAAUCACGUUGGAUAGCUGGUCCCAGCUGAAGGUCAGGAGGUAAGGCGACCCACAGUUAUAAAUAACCGAGCCAGGCUGCUGAGGGCAGCUUGCUGGAUCCGCGCCCCUCUCCGGCCGACCGACCCGGAUUGAUUUCUGACCUCCUGGCUGCCACGGGAACUUGAACCCCAGAGAGCUGAGCGCCAUGACCUUUGGGGGUGGCGCGCAAGGUCAGGCCAGGCCGCCUGGGCUUCCCUGACUCCUAAAUUCAGGCAGAUGCACCUUUGCC
rnacentral:lncRNA from 1 species